rnacentral:rRNA from 1 species
UACGAAGGGGGCUAGCGUUGCUCGGAAUCACUGGGCGUAAAGCGCACGUAGGCGGGUCUUUAAGUCAGGGGUGAAAUCCCGGAGCUCAACUCCGGAACUGCCUUUGAUACUGGAGAUCUUGAGUCCGGGAGAGGUGAGUGGAACUCCGAGUGUAGAGGUGAAAUUCGCAGAUAUUCGGAAGAACACCAGUGGCGAAGGCGGCUCACUGGCCCGGUACUGACGCUGAGGUGCGAAAGCGUGGGGAGCAAACAGG